rnacentral:rRNA from 1 species
UGAGGAAUAUUGGACAAUGGACGCAAGUCUGAUCCAGCCAUGCCGCGUGAGUGAUGAAGGCCUUAGGGUUGUAAAACUCUUUUAGUAGGGAAAAUAAUGAUGGUACCUACAGAAAAAGCUCCGGCUAACUUCGUGCCAGCAGCCGCGGUAAUACGAAGGGAGCAAGCGUUACUCGGAAUCACUGGGCGUAAAGCGCAUGUAGGCGGACUUUCAAGUCAGGGGUGAAAUCCCGGGGCUCAACCUCGGAAUUGCCUUUGAAACUGCAAGUCUUGAGUAUGACAGAGGAUGGUGGAAUUUCCAGUGUAGAGGUGAAAUUCGUAGAUAUUGGAAGGAACACCGGUGGCGAAGGCGACCAUCUGGGUCAUUACUGACGCUGAGAUGCGAAAGCGUGGGGAGCAAACAGG